rnacentral:rRNA from 1 species
AACGAACGCUGGCGGCAGGCUUAACACAUGCAAGUCGAGCGCCCCGCAAGGGGAGCGGCAGACGGGUGAGUAACGCGUGGGAAUCUACCCAUCUCUACGGAAUAACGCAUGGAAACGUGUGCUAAUACCGUAUACGUCCUUCGGGAGAAAGAUUUAUCGGAGAUGGAUGAGCCCGCGUUGGAUUAGCUAGUUGGUGGGGUAAAGGCCUACCAAGGCGACGAUCCAUAGCUGGUCUGAGAGGAUGAUCAGCCACACUGGGACUGAGACACGGCCCAGACGCCUACGGGAGGCAGCAGUGGGGAAUAUUGGACAAUGGGCGCAAGCCUGAGCCAGCCAUGCCGCGUGAGUGAUGAAGGCCCUAGGGUUGUAAAGCUCUUUCACCGGUGAAGAUAAUGACGGUAACCGGAGAAGAAGCCCCGGCUAACUUCGUGCCAGCCGCCGCGGUAAUAC